GCGGGUUCUGGGUUGGACUACGGAUCCGAAGGCUGGGGGUUCGAGUCCUCCCGGGCGCG
rnacentral:tRNA from 1 species